UGUGAAAGGUGUAGGCUUAACCUACAGACUGCGUUUGAAACUGUAUAUCUUGAGAGCAGCAGAGGAAGGCGGAAUUCCUGGUGUAGUGGUGAAAUACGUAGAUAUCAGGAAGAACACCAGUGGCGAAGGCGGUCUUCUGGGCUGCAUCUGACGCUCAUGUACGAAAGCUGGGGUAGCGAACGGGAUUAGAUACCCCGGUAGUCCCAGCUGUAAACGAUGGACACUAGGUGUUGGCGGUUCGAAUCCGUCAGUGCCGGAGUUAACGCAUUAAGUGUCCCGCCUGGGGAAUACGGUCGCAAGACUGAAACUCAAAGGAAUUGACGGGGGCCCGCACAAGCGGUGGAGCAUGUGGUUUAAUUCGAUGCAACGCGAAGAACCUUACCGAGAAUUGACAUCCCGUGACUACCUGUGAGAGCAGGGUUUGGUACUUAGUAUCACACGGAGACAGGUGGUGCAUGGCUGUCGUCAGCUCGUGUCGUGAGAUGUUGGGUUAAGUCCCGCAACGAGCGCAACCCUUGUCCUUAGUUGCCAGCAAGUGAUGUUGGGGACUCUAAGGAGACUGCCGGUGAAAGUCGGAGGAAGGUGGGGAUGACGUCAAGUCCUCAUGCCCUUUAUAUCUCGGGCUACACACGUGCUACAAUGGUCGGAACAGAGGGAGGCGAGACCGCGAGGUCAAGCUAAUCUUGAAAACCGAUCUCAGUUCGGAUUGCAGGCUGCAACCCGCCUGCAUGAAGCUGGAAUCGCUA
rnacentral:rRNA from 1 species